AGUUGGAAUAGGCAAAUCCGUCCAACAAUCUCAAGCUGUGACGGGGAGGGAACAUAAGUACCGAAGCUCCGGAUUUCAUACUGCCAAGAAAAGCCUCUAGUGAGGAAAGAGGUGCCCGUACCGCAAACCGACACAGGUAGGCGAGGAGAGAAUCCUAAGGUGAGCGGGAGAACUCUCGUUAAGGAACUCGGCAAAAUGACCCCGUAACUUCGGGAGAAGGGGUGCUUCUUUUGCGAGAAGCCGCAGUGAAAAGGCCCAAGCGACUGUUUAGCAAAAACACAGGUCUCUGCGAAGCCGUAAGGCGAAGUAUAGGGGCUGACACCUGCCCGGUGCUGGAAGGUUAAGGGGACGCGUUAGCCGCAAGGCGAAGCGUUGAACCGAAGCCCCAGUAAACGGCGGCCGUAACUAUAACGGUCCUAAGGUAGCGAAAUUCCUUGUCGGGUAAGUUCCGACCCGCACGAAAGGUGCAACGACUUGGGCACUGUCUCAACGAGAGACCCGGUGAAAUUAUACUAUGCGUGAAGAUGCGCAUUACCCGCGACAGGACGGAAAGACCCCGUGGAGCUUUACUGUAGCCUGAUAUUGCAUGUUGGUACAGCUUGUACAGGAUAGGUGGGAGCCUUAGAAGCCGGAGCGCUAGCUUCGGUGGAGGCGUCGGUGGGAUACCACCCUGGCUGUACGGACAUUCUAACCCAGGACCGUGAUCCGGUCCGGAGACAGUGUCAGGUGGGCAGUUUGACUGGGGCGGUCGCCUCCUAAAGAGUAACGGAGGCGCCCAAAGGUUCCCUCAGAAUGGUUGGAAAUCAUUCGCAGAGUGUAAAGGCAGAAGGGAGCUUGACUGCGAGACCUACAAGUCGAGCAGGGACGAAAGUCGGGCUUAGUGAUCCGGCGGUGCCGUAUGGAAGGGCCGUCGCUCAACGGAUAAAAGCUACCCCGGGGAUAACAGGCUUAUCUCCCCCAAGAGUCCACAUCGACGGGGAGGUUUGGCACCUCGAUGUCGGCUCAUCGCAUCCUGGGGCUGUAGUCGGUCCCAAGGGUUGGGCUGUUCGCCCAUUAAAGCGGUACGCGAGCUGGGUUCAGAACGUCGUGAGACAGUUCGGUCCCUAUCCGUCGUGGGCGUUGGAAGUUUGAGAGGAGCUGUCCUUAGUACGAGAGGACCGGGAUGGACACACCGCUGGUGUACCAGUUGUUCCGCCAGGAGCAUAGCUGGGUAGCUACGUGUGGAAGGGAUAAGUGCUGAAAGCAUCUAAGCAUGAAGCCCCCCUCUAGAUGAGACUUCCCAUCAUUUUAAAUGAGUAAGAUCCCUCAGAGACGAUGAGGUUGAUAGGUCCGAGGUGGAAGCGUGGUGACACGUGCAGCUGACGGAUACUAAUCGAUCGAGGACUUAACUAU
rnacentral:rRNA from 1 species